rnacentral:rRNA from 1 species
AUAAUGUGUUAAUCCUYAAYUAUUAGUAGUUAAGUUCUUGAAAAUUAAUAAAGAUGGCGGUAUUUUAGUCUAUUCAGAGGAAUCUGCCCUGUAAUUGAUAUUCCACGAUUUAAGUUACUUAGGGUUUUAGCUUGCAUAUCGCUGUAGGUUGAAUAUUUCUGUUGAAACAAAAUAUUCAAAAGGUUUAAGGAAAGAAAAUCAAGUCAAGAUGUAGCUUAUGCCUGAGAAGAGGUGGAUUACAGUGUUUGUAUUUGUGGAUUGAUCUUGGAAGUGAGAUUUUGAAAUUGGAUUUGAGGGUAAUUUUUUACUAAAAUUUGAAAGAUGAUUUGAGCUCUAAU